GAUGAACGCUGGCGGCGUGCCUAACACAUGCAAGUCGAGCGACCACACGAGGAGCUUGCUCCUCUGCCGUUAGCGGCGGACGGGUGAGUAACACGUGGAUACCCUCCCUAUAAGACUGGGAUACCUUCGGGAAACCGGAGCAAUACCCCGAUAUUUUUUUGAAUCACAUGGUUUAUUAGCUAAAGACGGUUUUGCUGUCACUUUUAGAUGGUUCCGCGCCGCAUUAUCUAGUUGGUAAGGUACCGGCUUAACACUGCAACGAUGCGUAGCCGACCUGAGAGGGUGGUCGGCCAGACGGGAGCAGAGACACGGUCCAGAGUCCUGCGGGAGGCAGCAGUAGAGAAUCUUCCGCAAUGGGGGAGAGAGUGACGGAGCAACGCCGCGUGAGUGAUGAUGGUCUACGGAUCGGAGAACUCUGUUAGUAGGGAAGAAGAAAUGUGUAAGUAACUAUGCACGUCUUGACGGUACCUUAUCAGAAAGGCACGGCUAACUACGUG
rnacentral:rRNA from 1 species